ACCUGUCACGUGACUUUUGGCACUAAUUUUCCGCCUUGCUGAUCCACACACACGCCUUCAGAUCCACACACAUGCUUGUAAAAUGGGAUGUAAUUCGCACUCCACAACAGCAGGUGGCGCUGUUACCGACUUGCUUGCCGCCGCCACGGACAUGGAAAGAGAAGAGAAGAAGAAACGCUAGCGUGAGGAGGGUGUUUUGAACACGAUGAGCGGCCAACAGCAUCCAGUGAUGAACUGAAGGCACUCAUGAAGUUCUGGGUUGGAUGGGAGGCUCCUACAACUACUCUCACGUUAGAGGUGACUGACUGUAGUCUGCCAAAGUCUUCCACGUGCUUCGAGACCCUCCGUCUUCCUGUCCGCUACAAAGACUUCACUGUAUUUAAGGAAGAACUGAUUGCCUGCCUUCAAACAUGUGACACUGGAUUUGGAUUGGUGUAAUGGCAAUGCUAAAAUGUAGCUUCUUUCAAAGGGGCAGUUCUCAUUCAUGUUUUUGUUCAGUGUUGGAUAUCAAAUUAAGACUACGCCCCUUUACCUCCACAAACAGUGUGCAAAUGUAUUCAAAGAAUUCAAUGAAUGUCUUCAUCUGCCUUUAUCUUUGAGUCCUUCUAUGUUUUCCCAUCACUCUAAAAUCUGAUGCAGGUCUUUAGUCUUUUUAAUCAUCUUUCUGACACCUUCAAAACCUUUUAUUUCAACAUUUCCCCCAAUGUGACCAUGUUGCAUUGUCUCCUGGGUUGUUUGUUGUUGUCAGUUAAACUUAAGUUUCUGUAUUUUUGUUGUUGUUGUUCAAACCCUCAAGAUGUUUUAAGAUUGUAUUGUAUUCACACUACAAUAAAAAGAAAACAAUC